CCUACGGGUGGCAGCAGUAGGGAAUCUUCCACAAUGGGCGAAAGCCUGAUGGAGCAACGCCGCGUGGGUGAAGAAGGUCUUCGGAUCGUAAAACCCUGUUGUUAGAGAAGAAAGUGCGUGAGAGUAACUGUUCACGUUUCGACGGUAUCUAACCAGAAAGCCACGGCUAACUACGUGCCAGCAGCCGCGGUAAUACGUAGGUGGCAAGCGUUAUCCGGAUUUAUUGGGCGUAAAGGGAACGCAGGCGGUACGUAAAGUCUGGUGUUAAAGGCAGAGGCUCAACUUCUGUACGGCACUGGAUACUUGCGAGCUAGAAUGCGGUAGAGGUAAAGGGAAUUCCUGGUGUAGCGGUGAAAUGCUUAGAUAUCAGGAGGAACAUCGGUGGCGUAAGCGCUUUACUGGGCCGUAAUUGACGCUGAGGAACGAAAGCCAGGGUAGCAAAUGGGAUUAGAUACCCCAGUAGUC
rnacentral:rRNA from 1 species